UACGUAGGAGACGAGCGUUGUCCGGAAUUACUGGGCGUAAAGCGCGUGUAGGCGGUGCGGUAAGUCUGUAGUGAAAUCUCUGGGCUCAACUCAGAGUCUGCUGCAGAAACUGCCGUGCUUGAGUGUGGGAGAGGUGAGUGGAAUUCCCGGUGUAGCGGUGAAAUGCGUAGAUAUCUGGAGGAACAUCAGUGGCGAAGGCGACACCCUGGACUCAUACUGACACUGAGGUGCGAAAGCGUGGGGAGCAAACAGG
rnacentral:rRNA from 1 species